AACGAACGCUGGCGGCAUGCCUAACACAUGCAAGUCGAACGAGACCUUCGGGUCUAGUGGCGCACGGGUGCGUAACGCGUGGGAAUCUGCCCUUGGGUUCGGAAUAACAGUUAGAAAUGACUGCUAAUACCGGAUAAUGUCUUCGGACCAAAGAUUUAUCGCCCAGGGAUGAGCCCGCGUAGGAUUAGCUAGUUGGUGAGGUAAAGGCUCACCAAGGCGACGAUCCUUAGCUGGUCUGAGAGGAUGAUCAGCCACACUGGGACUGAGACACGGCCCAGACUCCUACGGGAGGCAGCAGUGGGGAAUAUUGGACAAUGGGCGAAAGCCUGAUCCAGCAAUGCCGCGUGAGUGAUGAAGGCCUAGGGUUGUAAAGCUCUUUUACCCGGGAUGAUAAUGACAGUACCGGGAGAAUAAAGCUCCGGCUAACUCCGUGCCAGCAGCCGCGGUAAU
rnacentral:rRNA from 1 species